rnacentral:rRNA from 1 species
GAUGAACGCUGGCGGCGUGCCUAAUACAUGCAAGUCGAGCGAACAGACGAUGAGCUUGCUCCUCUGACGUUAGCGGCGGACGGGUGAGUAACACGUGGAUAACCUCCCUAUCAGACUGGGAUAACUUCGGGAAACCGGCGCUUAUCCCGGAUAAUAUCUUGAACCGCAUGGUUCAAUAGUGAAAGACGGCUUUUCUGUCACUUAUAGAUGGAUAUGCGCCGCAUUAGCUAGUUGGUAAGGUAAAGGCUUAUCAAGGCUACGAUGCGUAGCCGACCGGUGAGAGUGAUCGGCGACACUGGAAGUGAAACACGGUCCAGGCGCCUACGGGAGGCAGCAGAAGGGUAUCUUCCGCAGUGGGCGAAAGUCUUGCGGAGCAACGCCGCGUGAGAGAUGAAGGUCUUCGGAUCGUAAUACUCUGUUAUGAGUGAAGAACAAAUGUGUAAUUAACUAUGCACGUCUUGACGGUACCUAAUCAGAAAGCCACGGCUAACUACGUG